AUGUGGACCUGUCUUCGUGAGCGCUAUCAGCCCUCUGGUGAUGCCUUAUACCUCUCUGUGAUCCGUCAGGAGCAUGCUCUUCAGCAGGGUGACUCUACUGUUGAUGACUUCUAUGCACAGAGUUCUGCUAUCUGGCGCCAGCUUGAUUCUCUCCGUAGUGCUGGGUGUCGUACCUGCCCCUGUUGCCAGGUUGUCCAGGCCAAUUUGGAGUUUCAUUGCGUCUAUGAGUUCUUGUCUCGGCUCCGUAAGGAGUUUGAGCCCCGGCGUGCUCAGUUGUUUGCUCGUGGCCGUAUUUCUCUCAUGGAGGCGCUUUCUGAGAUUCUUGCUGAGGAGACUCGCUUACGUGGUGCUGGUUUGCUGGAGGUUCCCUCUGUGCUUGCUACUCGUGCUCCUACGCCACCUGCUCCAUCGACCACUUCUCGCUCGAGUGCUCCGCCGCUCUUGCCCACUCCUUCUGGAGGCUCAGGUAGCCCCCGUCCACAUUGCGCCUAUUGCAACAAUGAUGGUCAUCUUGAGUCUCAGUGCUACACGAAGAAGAAACACCUGCGCAAGGCUCGAUCAUCAUCUUCAGGGACUUCGUCAUCUACCUCGACAGCUUCAGCCAUUGCUUUGACUGAGCAGGAUAUUCUGAGACUUAAGCGUCUGCUCACGGCUUCAGGUUCUUCCUCGACGGGUACUGCCGGUUCUGUGACUGAUGCUUCCCGUACUGAGCAAUCACCCUCUACACAGUCAGGUACAUCCCCAUGGGUUCUGGACUCUGGAGCUUCUUUUCAUAUGUCUUCUCAUUCCUCCACUUCGUCCUCUCUUCGAUCACUGGAUUCUCCUAUUCAUGUCUUCACUGCUGAUGGUACUCCACUUUCUGUUGCUAGUAGAGGCAAUCUUACUACUCCUUAUUCUGUUCUUGAUGUUGCUCAUGUUUCUUGA
rnacentral:rRNA from 1 species